rnacentral:rRNA from 1 species
UACGUAGGGGGCAAGCGUUAUCCGGAUUUACUGGGUGUAAAGGGAGCGUAGACGGAAUUGCAAGUCUGAUGUGAAAAUCCGGGGCCCAACCCCGGAACUGCAUUGGAAACUGUAUUUCUAGAGUGUCGGAGAGGCAAGUGGAAUUCCUGGUGUAGCGGUGAAAUGCGUAGAUAUCAGGAGGAACACCAGUGGCGAAGGCGGCUUUCUGGACUGAAACUGACGCUGAGGCACGAAAGCGUGGGGAGCGAACAGG